UUUCCUUCAUUCAAUUGUUUGACCGCCUCUUCAUUAUCUCUCUCCAAUCAAUCCAACCUACCAAAACCAUUGAGAUCCUUUGCUUCUUCAUUUGAAUUUCAACUAAAAAACCCUAAUUGAUCUCUGCUAUGCCGUCUUCUACACUGUCCAGUUCUUUGCCGUGAUUCCAUUACAUCAAUGGCAAAUCAUCGUUGCUUCUUCAGUUAUGUUUUGGACUCUACACAAUCAGCACUGCCUUUACCAACAUCGUAUAAUUUGGACAUUGGACUACAAGACUAUCAUGUAUCUGUCAUUCUCAAGACAGAUGGUGAUGAUUUUUGGAUGGCUAUAGUCAAACCAACAUUGAUUUGAUACUGUAUCUGUAACGGUUGGGCUAAAGUUGUUAACAGUCUUGGUGUUGAAAACAAUGAUAUUAUUGUAUUUGAAGUCGUCAAAGAUAACACUUUCAAAAAUCGUCAUUACAAAUAUGAUCGUGAAGAUGAUUUGAAGAAUGAGUUUCAUCCGUUCGGCCAUACUUAAAAAAUCACCAGACUUGAAGCUUAACACAAAUGAGCUUUGAAUUAGCUACAACUUUAGGUGGCCUGAAGAUAUAAGCAAUCAAACUUUCAAUGGCCCUAUAUUUUUGCAGAGGUGGUGGUGAGCCCUCCUUUUGUGCUUCUUACCACUGUUAAAAGUGAAUUGAGGCUCAAAAUCCAACUUGCAGCCCAAAAUUUAUGGGUUAACAAAGAGUGUUUCGACACGGGAAGAGCAACAACAACAGAAGGGGAUGUAUAUAGUUUUGGUGUAGUUUUACUUAAGCUCUUGAGGGCAGUAAACUGUGAGAUGAAUCAUUUGCCGAGGAGGGAACAAAGCUUGUAACACGGAUCAUACGCGGUGUGAAGUAACUGACAUUGAUGAUGUUGGUGGGGUUACUUGAGCAAACGUUGUACCUCGAAUACUAGAUAGGUUUUCUCCGUAAAUCCUCAUCCUGAAUGUAAGUGAAGACUUAUUUAAAUAGCAAUGUGGUGUCACUUUUAACUAUCUAAUAUUAGACAUGUCCAUCUAUUAAUAUAUAAAACAUUUGUUCAGUUACGAAUACAAAAUGGGGCAUAUGCUAAAAAAUGGAUCAAUUGUUAGGAGUAAAUCAUAUUCGUUCAAAUCCUCCCUGUAUCCAGGACAAGAGUCAUUGCAGCGUGUUAUAAUAGUUGGAGAUAUGGGAAAUAGAAUUUGAAAGUAUCAGAUUAUAAAAAAAAAAUGUUAUUCUAAGAAUUGUACUAACACUUCUAUAAUAAAAUCAUGUAUUUAGCCUAACGCGAUGGAUUAAAUGAGUAUUCAAGUUAUCAGCGAGGAACACACAGGUACUUGAAUACUUUUUUAAUGAUGUUAAAAAGUGCAGUUUUAGCUGCAUUUUAUUGUUGUCUAAAAGUGCAGUAUUACCUGCAUUUUAUUGUUGUCAACAACAUUUUUAUUUUAUUUACUCGCUUUCAAAAAAAUGCAGUUUCAAAACAACAUUUUUAUUUCAUUUAAAUGUUGUCAAAAAGUGCAGUUUUAGUUGCAUUUUAUUGCUGCCAAAAUGACGUUAUUAUAUCAUUUAAAAGCCGUAAAAAAGUGCAGUUUUUUAUGCCUUUUAUUGUUGUCAAAACAAGGUUUCUAUUGCAUUUUAGUGCUGUCAAAAAGUGCAAUUUUAGCUGCAUUUUAAUUCUAUUAGAAGAGCCUUUUGUUGCAAAAUAAUGUUGUUAAAAAGUGUAUAUUUUGCUGCAUUUUAAUGUUGUAAAAUUAUGCGGUUUCUUCUUAUAUAUUAUGUUUAUGGUGUAACGGGUCAAACGGGUAAACUGAAUACUAUGUUGACUAUGACCGAACCUUGAUGAUCCUUCAAAUUUGAAAAGGGUUAAGUGAAGGAAAAUUAGUUUAUAUAACCUAAACAAUCACAACAAGUACUACGUGAAUGCGGAGAUUGGCGACUCGCCGAAAAGUAUAGACAUCACCUUCAUUAGCCAAGGCAUGACCUCUUUACUUUAAGUAACCUGUGUAACACACGGGCACUAACUUAACUAAUAGUUUUAGAGUAUAGUUGGACUAAUACUUGACAAUAUUAUUUUUACUCGGUGAUAAUAUUCGUUUUAAAUUUAUCGACUUAUUUUUAAUCAUAACUGUAUUAAUACUUUGUGCUCAUAUGAACAUAUAGUAACCAUGCAGACAAAUGAGUUGCUUAUCCUGGAUGGCAGCCUAUGGGCAUGAAGAUCAAAAUAUGUGACGGUAGCAGCUGGGCGACACGUGGCGGUAAAGAUAUAGUUGACCGGUCAAAAGGUACUUUCAUUGCAUCAUUUGUAAAUAAUAUAAUGGAACUUUUUUUCAUUUAAAUGUCAAUAUCAAGUGAGAGUGAUAAACCACCUGACUGGGUCGAAUGGAGAGAAGCGGUUGAACCAGAUUCAUCAGUUAUAACCACCGAGUUUGCUGAAACAUCUCACGCUGCAGCUGAUAGCCUCUCCAAUGGUGAUCUUGAAGUUGAUCCAUCGGACGACAUUGCUACUGAUCCUCCAAACAAAGUGGAGGUGACUAAUGUCGUAUAAUUACUGGUAGAUGGUGAAAAGAUACAAGGUUGCAACCUUAAGCCUGGAAUAUUAGAGCAAGUUUGAGAAAAUCACCUGCUGACCAGCUAUGUCUAUAAUCCUUCUUUGUUUGGUUUCUGUUGGUAUGGCCCCCUUUGGGUUUUGUACUAUGUAGGCAUGUUAAGACUUGCUAAGUUGCAUGUUUGUUUUCUUCUUUAAGUGAAUAAAAGCAUGCUUUGCCUGGUAAAAAAAAAACUAACUGUGUUGGUUUUGUAACUUCAUUUGAUACAUUAUGCACCC